ACGGAAUAAUUGUUGGAAACGGCAACUAAUACCGUAUACGCCCUACGGGGGAAAAAUUUAUUGCUAUUAGAUGAGCCUAUAUUAGAUUAGUUAGUUGGUGAGGUAAAGGCUUACCAAGACAAUGAUCUAUAGCUGAUCUGAGAGGAUGAUCAGCCACACUGGAACUGAGAUACGGUCCAGACUCCUACGGGAGGCAGCAGUGGGGAAUAUUGGACAAUGGGCGAAAGCCUGAUCCAGCCAUGCCGCAUGAGUGAAGAAGGCCUUUGGGUUGUAAAGCUCUUUUAGUGAGGAAGAUAAUGACGGUACUCACAGAAGAAGUCCUGGCUAACUCCGUGCCAGCAGCCGCGGUAAUACGGAGAGGGCUAGCGUUAUUCGGAAUUAUUGGGCGUAAAGGACGCGUAGGCUGAUUAAUAAGUUAAAAGUGAAAUCCCGAGGCUUAACCUCGGAAUUGCUUUUAAAACUAUUAAUCUAGAGAUUGAAAGAGGAUAGAGGAAUUCCUGAUGUAGAGGUGAAAUUCGUAAAUAUUAGGAGGAACACCAGUGGCGAAGGCGUCUAUCUGGUUCAAAUCUGACGCUGAGGCGUGAAGGCGUGGGGAGCAAACAGGAUUAGAUACCCUGGUAGUCCACGCUGUAAACGAUGAAUGUUAAAUAUGGGAAGUUUACUUUCUGUAUUACAGCUAACGCGUUAAACAUUCCGCCUGGGGACUACGGUGCGCAAGAUUAAAACUCAAAGGAAUUGACGGGGACCCGCACAAGCGGUGGAGCAUGUGGGGUAA
rnacentral:rRNA from 1 species